ensembl:snRNA U6 U6 spliceosomal RNA
UUUCUUUGGCAGCACAUAUACUAAAAUUGGAAUGAUACAGAGAUUAGCAAGGCCCCUGCGAAAGUAUAACAGAUUUCUUCAUGAAAGGUUCCAAAUUUUU